CGCGUCAACAUGAACGUGUGACAUCUUUUCUGUUUUUCCAUAUUUGGUUUCGAAUACUAUAUAUUCCUGGUUUGUACGAGCCAUUCUAAACAUCGUUUCCCGCAGACGCUCGAGUUGAAAUUUUGUUCGCCAUCAUAAUUAUAUCCUAUCGUCGUCGUCGUUGAGCUACCGCGUGAGCGUAAAAUGUAUCGCGUAAUUUCAACGGGUGGUGGUAGAUCACCGAAGCUGUCGUAGUACAAUGCAUUACCGCUCUUUGAAAUCCGGUACGCUGUCCAAUGUGUACCGGGUCCAUCGCUUGGGUCCAGAUUGACGAUACCGCACUCGGGACGUUUGGGUUUCUUGGUCGCCAAUUCAUCGAUCAUGAAAACACCGCGGAAAUGCGGGAUUUGUAAUUGUUCUGUCGCAGCGAUCCUCAACUCAACGUCCGUCAUCGCUCGGCGCGGUAGCUCACGGAUCAGUUUAAAUUCUUUCGGUAAGAUCUCAAGUAAAAUCCGUAACCUUUACGGUACGGUCGCAAGUACAAUCCUUCACCGAGGUGGAUAUUCUUCUUCUUCAAAGAUCCGUCGAUGACCGUCUUUAUCAUUUUCGCUACCGGCGUGAUUGUUCGCGCGGCCAGACCGAUACUCGUCAGGAGAUUCUUGACUCCGGCACCCGUCUUUGGGAUAGCCAAGAUUCGCUCCGCCGGUUUCUUCUUCUUCUUCUUCUUCUUCUUCGGUUUCGACGCUCCGGCACCCGUCUUUGGAAGAGCCAAGAUUCGCUCGAUCGUCCGCUCCACCGGUUUCGUCUUCUUCGACGCUCUCUUCUUCUUCUUCUUGGGUUUCGGUUUUGUCGCUGCCACCGACUUGUUUAGUCCCAUUCCGAGUUUGGCUUUGAGUUUCAUAGCGUUCGUUACGGCGUAUGCUGCCGCUCUUUCACCCAACGAUGAAUCGGACGCUUUCACACGUUCCCAAGCUCUGUCCGCAAGUAUGAGAUCGGCUUUGUUCCUCUCGCCGGUGUCGUUGGUCUUACUGUACGCAAUGUCGUGGGACUUGCAAGCUUCGUCGAGCGGAUUUAUACCCGGAUCUCCCGCGUUUCAAUCGUUCUGCGAGGCGAGUGCCCGGUCCGCAGUACCUGUAGUCGCCCGGCAAAUGUAGUUCGAACGGUAGUGAAUUUAUCAACGAGUUUAACAGUCCACGUCCUCGAUUGGUUUUGCUGCAAGUUGAUAAUCUUCUCGGUGACAUACUCUGACAAAAUUAUCCAUACUAUUUAUACGGAGAAGUAGAAAUGACUGUCCGAUAAUAUAGGGAACGAAUACGAUGCGACUCGUCAAGCAAAGAAAGUCACUGCGAGUCCCAAACCUCGACAAACGGAAGAAGCAAAAUGAAACCAAAGACAACGACGACGACACAGCGAACUGUUACCGGACAGUAUCCGUUGCAUUGUUUGCGGACCGUCCAAUUGCGGUAAAACAAACGUGAUGGUUUGCUUGCUACAACAUCCGAACGGAUUGAAAUUCCGCAACGUGUACUUGUACUCCAAGACACCGUUCCAACCCAAGUACGAAGAACUGCGUCGGAUAUUCGACGGAAUCGACGGUCUCGGCUACAACGUCUAUUCGGACACGGCCGAGAUUGUUCCACCAAACGAUGCAGCAUCGGACUCGGUCUUUAUUUUCGAUGAUGUCGCUUGUGACAAACAAAAUGCGAUGCGGGAUUAUUUCAGUAUGGGAAGGCACAGCUCGGUCGACAGUUUCUACUUGUGUCAACUUAUUCUCGCAUACCGAAACAAUUGAUCCGCGAUAACGCUAACCUGCUCGUAGUUUUUAAACAGGACAAUACAAACUUGCGACACAUCUACGACGAUCACGUCAACACAGAUUUCACGUUCGAAGAUUUCAGACACAUCUGCUCGGUGUGCUGGCACGACAAGUACGGGUUUUAGUCAUCGAUAAAGAUAGUAAUAAGAACGAGGGAAGGUACCGGAAAGGUUUCGAUACUUAUAUUGAACAAGAUGGAUAACUUAUCGUUGUCGACAAUCGCUCAGAAAUACGGUAGUAUCGAUAAAAUCCGUCAAGAUAUUAAACGGAAGUUAAAUUCCAUUCGCACCGGAGAAGCGGACGCUCAGGUGACGUUGAAGAAAGUUUUCAAACCGUUGACAGAUCCGCUCGCAGAAUUGCAGAAAACUGUGUCGACAACACCCGCACUUGUCGCUGCUCCUCAGGAAAAGAAAACCAAGAUCGAGCCUUCAAAAUCGGAAACGAAAGAUGAAACAAUGUUUGUUGAUAGUUUAUUUGCUUCGUUCGGAUCGCCGAA
rnacentral:lncRNA from 1 species